rfam:Sulfurospirillum sp. SCADC contig_206, whole genome shotgun sequence.
GUACGUUUUUGGUGUGUCUGUGGUUUUGUUUGAGCUUUGCAAAAAGUGAGAGAUUGCAGCCUAAAGGAAAGGUCGACUCCCAGAAGUUGGCUUAUUAGGGCCGCUUCAAUCACGGAACGCUCACUUGGGU